CCUACGGGAGGCAGCAGUGAGGAAUAUUGGUCAAUGGACGAGAGUCUGAACCAGCCAAGUAGCGUGAAGGAUGACUGCCCUAUGGGUUGUAAACUUCUUUUAUAUGGGAAUAAAAUGUUCCACGUGUGGGAUUCUGUAUGUACCAUAUGAAUAAGGAUCGGCUAACUCCGUGCCAGCAGCCGCGGUAAUACGGAGGAUCCGAGCGUUAUCCGGAUUUAUUGGGUUUAAAGGGUGCGUAGGUGGAUUUUUAAGUCAGUUGUGAAAGUUUGCGGCUCAACCGUAAAAUUGCAGUUGAAACUGGCAGUCUUGAGUACAGUAGAGGUGGGCGGAAUUCGUGGUGUAGCGGUGAAAUGCUUAGAUAUCACGAAGAACUCCGAUUGCGAAGGCAGCUCACUGGACUGCAACUGACACUGAGGCUCGAAAGUGUGGGUAUCAAACAGGAUUAGAUACCCGGGUAGUC
rnacentral:rRNA from 1 species